UACGUAGGGUGCAAGCGUUAAUCGGAAUUAUUGGGCGUAAAGGGUGCGUAGGCGGUCUGACAAGUCUGAUGUGAAAUCUAUGGGCUCAACCCAUAGUCUGCAUCGGAAACUGUCGGGCUUGAGUAUGGGAGAGGUGAGUGGAAUUUCCGGUGUAGCGGUGAAAUGCGUAGAUAUCGGAAGGAACACCGGUGGCGAAGGCGGUUCUCUGGGAAUGUUCUGGACGCUGAGGAGCGAAAGUGUGGGGAGCGAACAGG
rnacentral:rRNA from 1 species